CUUAUAUUCACCUUCACUCCACAGCCUUGGAAGAAUUGCCUGGUGGUUUACACAUCACCCAGUCAGGGAUCUUGGAAGCUGGGACUAAUCUACAAACUCAGAUAAUGAAGUCAUACAGGAUUAGUUGGAUUUUUUGUUUUAUUAUGUUUUGAUUCUUGGAGUUGGAGAGGAGGGAGAGGGAGACAGCCAUAUCUUUUUUUUUUUUUAAAGAGAGAGAGACAGAGAGAGAAUUUUUUUAUAUUUAUUUUUUAGUUUUCGGCGGACACAACAUCUUUGUUUGUAUGUGGUGCUGAGGAUCGAACCCGGGCCGCACGCAUGCCAGGCGAGCGCGCUACCACUUGAGCCACAUCCCCAGCCCCAAGACAGCCAUAUCUUAAAGAUAUGGAAGUCAAGGAAAACAAAGAGAAGGGGAUCAAUAGAGGAAAUGGGGAAGGAAGAAAAGGGGAUAUGGAGAGCCUGAAGGAUUGCAAGCAAGUAGGAAAAAAGUUGAGGAAGAGGAAGUCAGCUGGCACCAGAUCUGGGAGUGACUGGCCGCUGGCAGCAGGGGGCAGCAGCCAACUGGAGGGAGACCGGCAGUCCGUGCAGGAGCCAUGCAGUUUCAGUGUGGACCAGCAAGUACUGGGCACUGGAGGUGCACUGAUUUAAAAUCUCCAGACCAACUGGCAUUCAAUGAAGAGCGUGGAAACCACCUAGGCCUAAACCCUACCUCCAGGAAUUCCACCUACAGGUUACCUCUCUCACUCCAGAAAUCUAGACAGUGGAGCAUCACACUCCAGAAGACCCCACUAAUAACUCUGCUGAGAAGAGAAACUGAGAGUCUUUUGAACUCCAAUGGAAAGAAUUCUUUAACUUUUCAUCAAGAUUUUUUUGAAUUAUUUUUCCUUGUUUAAUUGUGAUCUUGAUGGUAUGUGGCUAUUUAUACAUAUUCAUAUUUAUUUUUCUCAUUUCAGGCAUUUUUGAAGCCAGUUAUAUUUCAUGGAUCAGUUUUUUCAUGUGUGUGAACUAGGAUGUUUCAUUAGUAUAUUUUAGUUUUGAUUUGUAUUAUUUUAUUUUUAUUUUAAUUUUUUUAAAAUUUGCUAUAUAUAUUUUUUUCUCCUACCUGUUUCCCUUGAUUCUCUCUUCUGCUAAUAGCCAGUCUAUAUUGUUUUCUCUUUAACUCUUCUUUUAUUUUUUUUUGCUUCAUCUUCUUUCUUCCUCCCUCAUAAUAAUCACAUCCUAUAUCAUUUCUGUUCUCUUCCUGUCCACCAUUUGAAAUUAUAAACCCUUUUGGAAACUUGCUGUUAUUAUUGUAGGCAGUAACUGAUCAUAUCAUUUCUGUUUAUUAUGAUAACAUUGUAGACAUCAUAAUAGGAACUAUUUGGUUUAAAGCUGUAUAUUGUUUGCAUUGGUUGUUGUUAUUGUUUGUCUGCCCCUAAAGAGUGAGAUACUGGAAACCUUCAAAGACACUAUAAUUCCACAGGGUAGAAACUCUGCUGCCUCAGGUCCAUACUGUUAGAUGGGUAGACACACAAAUAACAUGAAAAAGCAAGGGAACAAAUCACCUCAAACAAACAAACCAAUAUACUCCAAAAACAGAAUCCAUCCACACCACAAUGGAAGAAAUGUCGGAGAUGGAGUUUAGCAUGUACAUAGUUAAAUUGAUCUGCAAAGUAAAGGAAGGUGUAAGAAAUGAAAUCAGAGAAAAAACAUUGGAAGUGAAAGAUCACUUCAAUAAAGAGGCAGAGAUUCUGGGAGGAAAAAGCAGAAAUCCUCAAAAUGGAGAAAACAAUAAACUAAAUUUUAAAAUUCAAUAGAGGGCUGGGGAUGUGGCUCAAGCAAUAGCAUGCUCGCCUGGCAUGCGUAGGGCGCUGGGUUCAAUCCUCAGCACCACAUAAAAAUAAAAUAAAGAUGUUGUGUCCACCGAAAACUAAAAUAAAAAUUAAAAUAAAAUAAAAUUCAAUAGAAAACAUCACCAACAGACUAGACCACUUGAAAGACAGAAUCUCAGGCAAUGAAUACAAAAUAUAUAAUCUUGAAAAUAGAGUUGACCAUGGAGAGAGAUGUUAAGAAAUCAUGAACAGAACUUCCAAGAGGGGCUAGGAUUGUAGCUCAGUGGUCAAGCACUUUCCUGGCAAAUGUG
rnacentral:lncRNA from 1 species